GAACUAUGCGGCAGAUCUUUCUGGAUUUCUGGAUCCCAGAUAUGAAGACAAAUAAAUCUCCACACAGGUCUUGAAUGAGGAUGUUACUGGAAGCUCUGUGUUCUUGUCCUGCUCUUACAGUGACCAUAAACUGAAUUCAAGCAAGACUGUUUUGAGACCCAGUUAAAGCAGGAAUAUAUUAAACAUCAUUCAGAGAAAUGAUUCACUUGAGGAUCAGGAUCCAGAAUACAGCGUUUCCCAGAAGAGUCGACGAAAGGAAGCUUCACUCCAGCAUUCAUUUGCUGUUUCAUCUGUGUGUUUGCAAGUGCUGGUAAAUAAAG